GAUCUUCUCGCAACUUCUCAACGCGAUCGUUUUGUGGGCGAUAAACUUUCAGCGUACUCGUUCUGUUUUUUUUUUCCUUUGAUAGUACUCUGUGCGUGUGUGUGUGCUGCCGUAGCGGGUGCGCCAUCAGUGUGUCGCUGGCUGCCUCGUUGUCUCUGUGUCUGUCUGUGUGCGUGUGUGUUUCUUGUUGCUGCCGCUGCCCUUGAAAUUCAUAAGGUCAGCAGCUGCCUGUCACCACCAUCACCGCACCGUCCUUGCCUCUUUCCAGUCGUGAACUUGACAAGAGGAAGUGACAUCUCGCAACCUCCAGCUGACAGCUGCCCCCCUCCCUCCCCCUCGCCCAGAAAAUAACAGAGGCACCUCUGACGUAAUGGCCAAGGUCGGUGAGGGCGAUCCGCGCUGGAUUGUCAGCGAGCGCACAGAUGGUGCCAACGUGAACUCGUGGCACUGGGAGGAGCGCGACCUUUCUCAACACACGCACAGCAAGCUCAAGAGCAUCUUUGCCGAGCAUGCGAUCCCGGUCCCGGAAGAUAUGGGGAAGAGCGUCGAGUACCUCAAGAUUGAGGAGGUGAGCGACAUAUCUGGCGACGUCACGGUGGCGCAGCGCAAAGGGAAGAUGAUGUGCUACUUCGAGCUAAAGAUGACGCUGAAGUGGGUGGGCAAGAUGGCCGACACGGAUCAGGUGGUUCGGGGCAAGAUGGAGGUGGCCGAGGUCGACCACGACGAGUUCAGAAACGACUACGACAUUGCGGUCACAUGCCAGGAUAACGACGCCGCUUCGCAGCAGCUUCAGUCGGUGGUGCAGGUGGCGGGCCGCGCUACGGUGCGGCAGGAGAUCGUCACCUUCUUCGAUGCCCUCUUCACCGAGUAUCAGAUCGGCAAGCAGCUGAAGAGCGGUGCCGCCUUGCCCCCACCGCCGCCACCAUCGUCGGCGUCCGCGUCCACCUCCCCGGGCUCCAACACCGCGGCGGUUGGGAAGAAGUCUACGGCGCAGUCCAAGUCGAGCAGCAGCAGCAAUGAGAGCACGUCCUUCUCAUGGAAGAUGCGCUGGGGCGCGCCAGUGGCGGAGCUGUACGCAGCCCUGACGGACCCGAGCAAGGCCAGCGUGUACACGCGGAGCCCCGCCACCAUGGACGUGAAGGCCGGUGGCCAGUUCAGCUUUCUCGGCGGUGUCAUCAGCGGCUACUACGUGGAUGUGCAGCCCUUGACCCUGAUCAAGAAGCAGUGGCGUCUUGGCAGCUGGCCUGUCGGCGUGCACAGCUCGGUGGUGCUGCAGCUGGUGAAGGAGGAGCCUGGCGUGACGACGCUGGAGUUCACUCAGUCCGGCAUUCCUGCUGGUGAGCUGCAAAGUGUGCAGGAGGGGUGGAGGGCAAACUUCUUCGAGGCUAUCAAGGCCGUGUUCGGCUACUCGCUCGAGUACAUGUGAGCGGAGGAGGAAGAACGAAGUCAAGAGAAGCAAGAAGAGCAAAACGCGAAAACAUACACACGAACAGACGCACGCGCGUACACGUGUGCGUGAGUGAUUCAUAUCGCUCACGCCUCCAUCGCACUUGUGCUACCUGCGCCUCAAGCUACCCUGCUUGUCUCUCGCUGGCCACACAAGGACAAAGGCAAAGCCGAUACGUGCAUGUGCGUCGUCAUGUGUGUGUCGGUGUGUCUGUGUGCGUUUUUUCGCGAAUCCCCUCCCUCUCCCUCCUUCUACAUUAUUCGUGUUUUUCUAUCUCUGUCUAUGCCUGUGCGUCUCUGAGUGUGUGCGCGCGCGUGCGUAUGCACGCUCCACUCGCUCACUCCCCCGUUCUUUCGUAUUUUUCUUGUGUUUUGUUACGGUGAUGUGCUAAGCAGCGAGACAAAG
rnacentral:misc_RNA from 1 species